UUCACUUGAUUGGAUUUCUGAGACUUGAGUGCUGCUGCCAUUUCCCAAAUCCAUUUCUCCAGCAUGCCAUCCACCUGUGGGAAGGGGAAACUGAGCAAAAGGAGUCCAUUGGAGAAUAUUUGAGAAGAUGCAUACAGUACUGGAAAGAGCUGCCAGAUGGCAACAUCUUCUGCUUGGGUGGUCUAAAUCAAUGCCAGAAGACAGAAGGAACACUGACAAAGAUGAAGAGAAAUUUGCCUCAGUUACUUAAUCUGGGAAACCUACUUUAGAGGGUUAUUGCGAUGAUCAAAUGAAAUAAUAUGCUUUGUAACAAUAAACAUAUGCUAUUAUUUCUAGAUCUAUUACUAAAAAGAGAUUCUGGAUCAUAA